ensembl:misc_RNA 7SK 7SK RNA
AGAUGUGAGGGCGAUUUGGCUGUGACAUCUGUCACCCCAUUGAUUGCCAAGGUUGAUUCGGCUUACUUAUCUGGCUGGCUAGGCAGGUGUCCCCUUCCUCCCUCACCACUUCAGGUGCGUCCCUCCCGAAGAUGCGAGCUCUUAGAAGAGGAUGGUCUUACCGAAUAGAGACAGAACAGUCUUCUGUCUAGGGUAUACGAUUAGCUGUAUUCUCCUGCUAAAAUCUCCAAACAAGCUCUCAAGGUCCAUUUGUAGGAGAACGUGGGGUAGUCAAGCUUCUAAGACUCCAGACACAUCCAAAUGAAGUGCUGAUGCUCUACAUGUGGCAGUCUGCCUUUCUUA